UUAUCAUUGGGCGUAAAUCUCAGGAUGUGGUUUACUCAUGGAGUUACCCCUUAAUUCCAGCAUUUUAUUCUCUAAAUAAGGGUUUUUUACAUUAUCGUUUUUGAUGUGGAUGGUAUUUCCCAGGAUUGUAGCUUCUUCCACUAGACUGAAGCAACAUAGAAGCAUCUCUGAUUUAGAUACCUUCAUACUUAAUCCAGAUCUUUUUCCGCAUGUUUCCAAGACUUCUCCUGCCUAGACGCUUGGAAGUGAAUGUUACAACUACUAAGAAUGACAGUUCCAUUAUCUACAAAAAAAAAAAAAAAAACGGUUCGUCACUUUCCACCUUUAAUCUUGGCAUCUAACAUUUUUGUAGGCGACCGACGGGAAAAAAAAAAAAGCAAGCAUUGGACUCACAGGAUCCCCUUGUCUCACACCCCACUAUAGUCUUACUGUCGGACUCUUCUUAAUAUCAAUGAUUAUUUCUGAUUCUUCCCCCAUGUUUUUUACGACCGCACAAAAGACAUUAGAGAAACUCAUCAUACAUAAUUCAUCAAUAAUGAAGGAAUGCUCAAUUGUAUCGAAGUAGCAGUUUCUCUGACACUGCCAGUUUCCUUGGCCUUUGGAGUAUCUUUACAAUUAUUUUUAUGAGUGCCAGCAUCAAAACAGAGAUUUAAAAUUUCCUCCGUGGAACUACUUGCACAGUCAUGAACAAUUGUAGUUGUUUUGUGCUGAUUAGACUUACAAAACAGGGUUUACAAUUUUCAUCUUGGUGUAUCACCUUUUCCACAGUUUCCUCACUUUCUUGAGUUACGGGCACAUUCCGAGGGUCCUGAAAGCGCACUUUUCCUGCGGAAGCUACUUUUAGGGUGAAGUUAAUAGCUUACAGAGCGGCAAAUGUUGGUUGAUCCACAUCAAGGUGUAGGACUUUUCGCAACUGUGUUAAUUCAGAUUUGGUCAGUUCGACCUUACCUCUAACACGAAUGGAGUUACAUUGAUAUGCAAUUUUCUGUUUAUUAAAAACUAAUCAACAUUUAAAGUUGUAAAACCAUUUUUUUUUAAAUCAUCUAAGAUAUAAGUAAGGUUUUGGGAAUUAUGUUUUGCAAAAGUGCCCCCGCAAAUACAACUUCAACUAUCUGGUUCCUCUGUUUUCUUUCGGACAUAAACAAACCUUUAUUCAUAAUUCAUGGCCGAUGAGUAAUUUCAAACAUACUUAUAAGAUAUCUCAAUGAAUUUAGUACUAUUCAAUCAAAAUAAUAUUUUCAAGAAAAUGUAUUAAUGUUAGGUAAAAUUUACUGUAUGAUACAAAUAGUAUUAAUUGCCAUAACAUAAAAACUAAGUUACGAAUAUCAAAAUACAAAAGGAUAAAAGAAAUCGUAAAUAGCAUGUUAGUAAAUUAUAUGCAAACUAUAAUAAUUUAUCCAUGAGGCUGUAGAUGUUCAUUCCUUGCAUGGGGACACAAACCCCUUUAGAUAAAGACGAAUCUGUUACGACAAUCUAAGUGUCAAGGAGAAAUAGUUAUUAAAUUUGGUAUUCCCUUAAUAUUCGAAAUACUUAUGCUUCGCGAGGAAGAAGUUGAAUUUCAUAUAAUGCAAUGAGGCAAUGUGUGAGCCCCUAAAAUAAAGAUCAUCCUGAAGAAAGUGUUGUAUACUAUUAAUAUAAUUUUCGUAUAAAUGACAAUAUAUAUAGAUGUAUAUUAUAUUCUGUUAAAU
rnacentral:lncRNA from 1 species